rnacentral:rRNA from 1 species
GACGAACGCUGGCGGCGUGCUUAACACAUGCAAGUCGAGCGGUAAGGCCCUUUCGGGGGUACACGAGCGGCGAACGGGUGAGUAACACGUGGGUGACCUGCCCUCAGCUCUGGGAUAAGCCUGGGAAACUGGGUCUAAUACCGGAUAUGACUCCAUGACGCAUGUUGUGGGGUGGAAAGCCUUGUGCGGCUGAGGAUGGGCCCGCGGCCUAUCAGCUUGUUGGUGGGGNGAUGGCCUACCAAGGCGACGACGGGUAGCCGGCCUGAGAGGGCGACCGGCCACACUGGGACUGAGACACGGCCCAGACUCCUACGGGAGGCAGCAGUGGGG